UACGAAGGGGACUAGCGUUGUUCGGAAUCACUGGGCGUAAAGCGCACGUAGGCGGCUGUGUCAGUCAGGGGUGAAAUCCCGGGGCUCAACCUCGGAACUGCCUUUGAUACAGCACGUCUCGAGUCCGGAAGAGGUGGGUGGAAUUCCUAGUGUAGAGGUGAAAUUCGUAGAUAUUAGGAAGAACACCGGUGGCGAAGGCGGCCCACUGGUCCGGUACUGACGCUGAGACGCGAAAGCGUGGGGAGCGAACAGG
rnacentral:rRNA from 1 species